rnacentral:sRNA from 1 species
AUAAUUAAACUAUAUAAACAUCUACCUUGAUAGUCCGUCACUUGACGUCACACAGAUUUAAGCAUGUCUAAGUUCAGUACAGUUCAUUUUCUUUUGGUUUUGACAGUAACGAUUUUUGGUGCAGCAAAAGCCCAAGUAGAGUGUCCAGGAGGAUGCCCUGAAGGUAAACCAAAAUUAAGUAUUAUAU